rnacentral:rRNA from 1 species
AACGAACGCUGGCGGCAUGCCUAACACAUGCAAGUCGAACGAGACCUUCGGGUCUAGUGGCGCACGGGUGCGUAACGCGUGGGAACCUGCCCUUAGGUUCGGAAUAACUCCCCGAAAGGGGUGCUAAUACCGGAUAAUGUCUUCGGACCAAAGAUUUAUCGCCUUUGGAUGGGCCCGCGUUGGAUUAGCUAGUUGGUAGGGUAAAAGCCUACCAAGGCGACGAUCCAUAGCUGGUCUGAGAGGAUGAUCAGCCACACUGGGGCUGAGACACGGCCCAGACUCCUACGGGAGGCAGCAGUGGGUAAUAUAGGACAAUGGGCGAAAGCGUGAUCCAGCAAUGCCGCGUGAGUGAUGAAGGCCUUAGGGUUGUAAAGUUCUUUUACCCGGGAUGAUAAUGACAGUACCGGGAGAAUAAGCUCCGGCUAACUACGUG